AUUUCAUCACAGCUUAAACAAAAAAUAUCCUCUGCCACGUCUGCCAUCAAAUCUGUUUUUGGACAAGAAGUAACUCGACAGGAUGCCUCUGACAAAUUGGAACGACUGAGGGAGAGGAUGAUAAAAGUGAGGGAGCUUUUUCGUGAUACAGACUCCACAGAGUUUGUUAUAGUUACAAUUCCCACGGUAAUGGCGGUUAGUGAGUCGUCUAGGUUGCGCGCCUCCCUGCAAAAGGAGAAUGUUCCUGUUAAGAGGCUUAUUGUUAAUCAAAUUCUUCCUCCAUCUGCCUCCGACUGCAAGUUUUGUGCAAUGAAGAGAAGGGUAUAGUAAUUUAUU